rnacentral:rRNA from 1 species
CAGUCGCCGCGGGAAUACGAAGGGGGCUAGCGUUGCUCGGAAUGACUGGGCGUAAAGGGCGCGUAGGCGGUUCACGCAGUCAGAUGUGAAAUUCCUGGGCUUAACCUGGGGGCUGCAUUUGAGACGCGUGGGCUUGAGUGUGAAAGAGGGUCGUGGAAUUCCCAGUGUAGCGGUGAAAUUCGUAGAUAUUGGGAAGAACACCGGUGGCGAAGGCGGCGACCUGGUUCAUAACUGACGCUGAGGCGCGAAAGCGUGGGGAGCAAACAGGAUUAGAGACCCCCGUAGUCCCUGUCUCUUAUAC